GCUUUGGUGGUGUAGUUGGUAAGACAUGGGAUUCAUAGCUCUGUUAAUGCACCCCAAGAUCGCGAGUUCGAGCCUCGCCCGAAGCA